AUUGAACGCUGGCGGAAUGCUUUACACAUGCAAGUCGAACGGCAGCACGGACUUCGGUCUGGUGGCGAGUGACGAACGGGUGAGUAAUGUAUCGGAACGUGCCCAGCCGUUGGGGAUAACGUAGGGAAAAUUACGAUAAUACCGCAUACGCACUAUGGAGGAAUGCGGGGGAACACAAAACCUCGCGCGAAUGGAGCGGCCGAUAUCAGUUUAGGUAUUUGGGGGGGUAAAGGCCCACCAAGCCAACGAUCUGUAGCUGGUCUUAGAGGACGACCAGCCACACUAGAACUGAGGCACGGUCCAGACUCCUACGGGAGGCAGCAGUGGGGAAUUUUGGACAAUGGGCGAAAGCCUGAUCCAGCCAUUCCGCGUGCAGGAUGAAGGCCCUCGGGUUGUAAACUGCUUUUGUACAGAACGAAAAGGUUUCUACUAAUACUAGGAGCUCAUGACGGUACUGUAAGAAUAAGCACCGGCUAACUACGUGCCAGCAGCCGCUGUAA
rnacentral:rRNA from 1 species